GACAGAGGGUGCAAACGUUGUUCGGAUUUACUGGGCGUAAAGCGCGUGUAGGCGGCUUGGCAAGUCGGAUGUGAAAGCCCACGGCUCAACCGUGGAAGCGCAUCCGAAACUGCUUCGCUCGAGUCUCGGAGAGGAAGGUGGAAUGCUUGGUGUAGCGGUGAAAUGCGCAGAUAUCAGGAGGAACACCGAUGGCGAAGGCAGGUCUCUGGGCCACUACUGACGCUGAGAAGCGAAAGCGUGGGGAGCGAACAGG
rnacentral:rRNA from 1 species